rnacentral:rRNA from 1 species
UACGUAGGGAGCAAGCGUUGUCCGGAAUCAUUGGGCGUAAAGCGCGUGUAGGCGGCCUUGUAAGUCCGUUGUGAAAGUCAAAGGCUCAACCUUUGAAAGCCGAUGGAUACUGCAAGGCUGGAGUCCGGAAGAGGCGAGUGGAAUUCCUGGUGUAGCGGUGGAAUGCGCAGAUAUCAGGAGGAACACCAAUAGCGAAGGCAGCUCGCUGGGACGGUACUGACGCUAAGGCGCGAAAGCGUGGGGAGCGAACAGG